rnacentral:rRNA from 1 species
GACGAACGCUGGCGGCGUGCUUAACACAUGCAAGUCGAGCGGUAAGGCCCUUUCGGGGGUACACGAGCGGCGAACGGGUGAGUAACACGUGGGUGACCUGCCCUCAGCUCUGGGAUAAGCCUGGGAAACCGGGUCUAAUACUGGAUAUGACUCCAUGACGCAUGUUGUGGGGUGGAAAGCCUUGUGCGGCUGAGGAUGGGCCCGCGGCCUAUCAGCUUGUUGGUGGGGUGANGGCCUACCAAGGCGACGACGGGUAGCCGGCCUGAGAGGGCGACCGGCCACACUGGGACUGAGACACGGCCCAGACUCCUACGGGAGGCAGCAGUGGGGAAUCUUGCGCAAUGGGCGAAAGCCUGACGCAGCGACGCCGCGUGAGGGUGACGGCCU